GCGCGUGCCACAGUGGGCCACCUUUGUGGGACAGCCAGAUCUGGUGUGGGCUAGGAGCCUCUGGCACUCUGAGGCGCCCUUGGCCUACAGGCUUGCCGGGACCGUGCUCCCGCCCACUGGAUCAAGAUGGAGGAGGAACAGGAAAAAGGGCGACCGCUGGCGUUUCAGAUCCAGGGAGAUUUCUAGCAGUCCUUCACCCUUUUGGCAGGUGCUUUACGAAAGAAAAAUUGCCAACCUUUGCUCUAAAGCAUAAUUGAGGAAAAAUAAAGGAAAAAUGGAACAGGUGAACCUAAGGGUGCUUAUCCUUAAGUUAGAAGUCAUUCCUGGUCUCUGCUUUUCCUGAACUGGACUCAGCAGCCCUCCAAGUACAAUUUUUAGAGACCAACUGGAAAAAGAAAGAACUGAAAGCUUCUAAGAAACAUCUGUCUUCAGAGGAAGGAGAGAGGAACUCCUGUCAGAGGCUUCUAUUCACCAAAAACCUCUGUUCUUGAUCAAUACCUGUUUGAUGCUGAUGCCAUUUAUCAUCAGGCAUAAUUUGAGUCUUCCUGCCUUCUGUUGUUUGGUGUUUAUUUUACCUGAGGACUAGAUUUAUUCUUAAUCAUUUCCCCUUUGGAAAUAUUGCUUAGAAAGCAAAAGGAACAUCUUGAUUCAAAUGGAAUUUAAUCUUCUGAGUUCUUCCCAGGCAAUACCUCCUCAUUACAGCUUGUUUCAUGCAGACUCUGGGAUGGCAGGUUGAACAAGUCAAAAGAGAUGGCCAUGGUCCUUCAUUUGUUACUCUACCAUUCCAGUCCUAUAGAAGUAUCAGGGCAGCUAAAAUGGAAUACUGCUAUGAAAAUUCAACAAAAUUGAUAAAAUGUGAAGAAAUUGAUUGGAAUAGCUUUCCAGAGGUUAACUUGAAUUAUAAAGUAAUAGUAGUUGUUGAAUAAAGAAGAGCAGGUAAUUGUAAGGCUUUUUCUCGCGUGUGGGAUAGAUGGAGGAGGAGAAUUGGAUUUCUUGGACUGUGCUUGAGAAUUAAGUUAAGGAUGGAGGUACAGAAGAGAUGAGAGAUGACACAAGGUAUAUUUCAAUGGAAAAGUAAUAGUUAAUAUGUGCUUGCUUCUGGGGAUAACUGGAAGCCAGAGGCCUAGGAAUGAAUUAAGGAGAAAGAAAGUCAUAGCCUGCAUGAAUUUACGAAAGUAAGAAAAGCUAACUAAGGAUGUUCCUGUUAUAUUUCAAUCCACGGAAGCGGUAGAGCUGAUUCAAAGGAUACACAAAUUAUGAUAGAAGAAAAAAACCUGGAAUUGACUCAUAGUUUCUUUGUCCCAAAGUAGUGUAUUUUCUUUUUUAAAAUUAGAACUCAGGCCACUAAAUUUGUUAUUGUGCUAAAACUAGGAACAGAAUUGGAUUAUCUCCUGGUUUUGACUUUCUCCUUGGGAAUAAACUUUUACUACAAAGUAGAUUGUGGCAUAUAGUAACGGUAUUUUUAUUGUACAGCUCGUUGGUUUGUAUUAAAUUCCCACCCCAAGAUCUGCCUUCUUUUUACAAGGAAACAUUGUUCUAUGGGAUUGUGUGUUUAGAUAUGCAUUUAAAACAUGUCUACCACCUUAGGAGAAAAAAUAGCCUCUGAGAUUUGGACCACACAUUGUUGGUACAGAAGCUGAAGAUGAUGUUUUCAUUUACCUCACAAAAUGCCACGCUUUUCUGUGUUUAAUUUCUAUUUCCUUCUUUCCCUCUACUUUUCACCCUUUUUGCAUAGUUAAAUCUUCAAAUCUGGUAAAAAAAAAAAAAAAACAAAACCUCAACCCCACUACAUUUAUUCUAAAUUCACGAGGAUUGUAUUUACUUAAAAAAAUACUUCUUUCAGGAUUGACACAGUACUUCUGCUUUCAGUAAAUCCAACAAUACUCAGUGUUACUGGAUGUUGGAUGGUAGCUUCACAGCAUUAAGAAUGCAGCAUGCAGCAUGAUGAAGAUCAAAAUGACUUACGCAGGCUUGAGCAGCUGUGCUGCCCAUAGGGUCAGGCAUUCUAGUUGGUGUGAUGAAACGUUUAUAAAUUAAACCAUUCAUGUGCAUUUUGUAUUGAUUUUCUAACAUACAAAAUGAGUGUCUUACCAGCAGAAUAAAAUACAAUAAAAUAUGUGUUUUUUUAAAUUGUGGGA
rnacentral:lncRNA from 1 species